rnacentral:rRNA from 1 species
AGCGAACGCUGGCGGCAGGCUUAACACAUGCAAGUCGAGCGGGCAUCCUUGUGGUGUCAGCGGCAGACGGGUGAGUAACGCGUGGGGACGUGCCCUUCGGUUCGGAAUAACUCAGGGAAACUUGAGCUAAUACCGGAUACGUGCGAGAGCAGAAAGGUUUAUCUGCCGAAGGAUCGGCCCGCGUCUGAUUAGCUAGUUGGUGAGGUUACGGCUCACCAAGGCGACGAUCAGUAGCUGGUCUGAGAGGAUGAUCAGCCACACUGGGACUGAGACACGGCCCAGACUCCUACGGGAGGCAGCAGUGGGGAAUAUUGGACAAUGGGGGCAACCCUGAUCCAGCCAUGCCGCGUGAGUGAUGACGGCCUUAGGGUUGUAAAGCUCUUUUCUCCGGGACGAUAAUGACGGUACCGGAGGAAUAAGCCCCGGCUAACUUCGUG